rnacentral:misc_RNA from 1 species
GUUUAAUUUAGUAUAUUUCUCUUUCAAAGAAAGACUACAAGAGAUGAUCAUAUAGAUAAAAAUUAGGUCUUCUAGAUUAAUAUAUUUAGUUUAAUCUUAAUGAAUAAUGGCAGAACGGGUGCUUGAGGUGCAAGGCUUAGAGGAACCUGCCCUAGCACCUCAACCUGCAGAAGGUGGGUGAGGUUGCAUGCCUUAAGUGAUGUAUAUACAUUUUAAUGGUGGCCCAUGCAACGGAACUUCUACUUGUCCGGCUUUGUAGUAGAAUUUGUCCAGCGUGCUUCUAUUUAGUGAAAUGAGCUAUGAUCCAUUUGUU